rnacentral:rRNA from 1 species
AGUGAACGCUGGCGGUAGGCCUAACACAUGCAAGUCGAACGGCAGCACAGUAAGAGCUUGCUCUUACGGGUGGCGAGUGGCGGACGGGUGAGGAAUACAUCGGAAUCUACUUUUUCGUGGGGGAUAACGUAGGGAAACUUACGCUAAUACCGCAUACGACCUACGGGUGAAAGCAGGGGAUCUUCGGACCUUGCGCGAUUGAAUGAGCCGAUGUCGGAGUAGCUAGUUGGCGGGGUAAAGGCCCACCAAGGCGACGAUCCGUAGCUGGUCUGAGAGGAUGAUCGGCCACACUGGAACUGAGACACGGUCCAGACUCCUACGGGAGGCAGCAGUGUGGAAUAUGGGACAAUGGGCGCAAGCCUGAUCCAGCCAUACCGCGUGGGUGAAGAAGGCCUUCGGGUUGUAAAGCCCUUUUGUUGGGAAAGAAAAGCAGCAGGUUAAUACCCCGCUGUUCUGACGGUACCCAAAGAAUAAGCACCGGCUAACUUCGUG